rnacentral:rRNA from 1 species
CGCGAAUGGCUCAUUAUAACAGCUAUAAUUUACUUGAUCUUGACACAAUCCUACUUGGAUAACUGUGGUAAUUCUAGAGCUAAUACAUGCAUUAAAGCUCUGACCUCACGAGAAGAGUGCAUUUAUUAGAACAAAACCAAGCGGCUUCGGCUGUUUCUGGUUGACUCAUAGUAACUGAGCUGAUCGCAUGGUCUUGCACCGGCGACGUGUCUUUCAAGUAUCUGCCGUAUCAACUUUCGAUGGAAGUGUAUCUGACUACCAUGGUGAUCACGCGUAACGGAGAAUAAGGGUUCGACUCCGGAGAGUUCGCCUGAGAAAUCGCGAACACAUCUAAGGAAGGCAGCAGGCGCGAAAAUUACCCACUCUCAGCACGAGGAGGUAGUGACGAAAAAUAACGAGACCGUUCUCUUUUGAGGCCGGUCAUCGGAAUGGGACAAUUUAAACCCUUUAACGAGUAUCUAUGAGAGGGCAAGUCUGGUGCCAGCAGCCGCGGUAAUUCCAGCU